UACGUAGGGUGCGAGCGUUGUCCGGAAUUAUUGGGCGUAAAGGGCUCGUAGGCGGUUUGUCGCGUCGGGAGUGAAAACACUGGGCUUAACUCAGUGCUUGCUUUCGAUACGGGCAGACUAGAGGUAUGCAGGGGAGAACGGAAUUCCUGGUGUAGCGGUGAAAUGCGUAGAUAUCUGGAGGAACACCGGUGGCGAAGGCGGCAUCCUGGACCGGCACUGACGCUGAGGAGCGAAAGCCAGGGGAGCAAAGCGGG
rnacentral:rRNA from 1 species